CCUACGGGCGGCAGCAGUGGGGAAUAUUGCACAAUGGGGGAAACCCUGAUGCAGCGACGCCGCGUGAGUGAAGAAGUAAUUCGUUAUGUAAAGCUCUAUCAGCAGGGAAGAAAAUGACGGUACCUGAGUAAGAAGCCCCGGCUAACUACGUGCCAGCAGCCGCGGUAAUACGUAGGGGGCAAGCGUUAUCCGGAUUUACUGGGUGCAAAGGGAGCGUAGACGGCAGUGCAAGUCUGGAGUGAAAGGCGGGGGGUCAACCCCCGGACUGCUCUGGAAACUGUACGGCUGGAGUGCAGGAGAGGUAAGUGGAAUUCCUAGUGUAGCGGUGAGAUGCGUAGAUAUUAGGAGGAACACCAGUGGCGAAGGCGGCUUACUGGACUGUAACUGACGUUGAGGCUCGAAAGCGUGGGGAGCAAACAGGAUUAGAUACCCCUGUAGUC
rnacentral:rRNA from 1 species